rnacentral:rRNA from 1 species
AUUGAACGCUGGCGGCAGGCCUAACACAUGCAAGUCGAGCGAGAGGCGGACGGGUGAGUAAUGUAUGGGAAACUGCCUGCUGGAGGGGGAUAACUACAGGAAACGGUAGCUAAUACAGCAUACCAUCAGAUGUGCCCAGAUGGGAUUAGAUAGUAGGUGGGGUAACUGCUCACAUAGGCGACGAUCCCUAGCUGGUCUGUGAGGAUGACCAGCCACACUGGAACUGAGACACGGUCCAGACUCCUACGUGAGGCAGCAGUGGGGAAUAUUGCACAAUGGGCGCAAGCCUGAUCCAGCCAUGCCGCGUGUGUGAAGAAGGUCUUCGGAUUGUAAAGCACUUUAAGUUGGGAGGCGUUACCAACAGAAUAAGCACCGGCUAACUUCGUGCCAGCAGCCGCGGUAAUUC